UGUGUUUUUCAAGUUUUUAAAAUGACCUUAAAGCUAGUUGCUUAAAGGAGAUCAUUUUUUUUCUAGAGAUAUUUCAUUCCUAUAUGAUGUCCCACAAAAGUUAUCACACCCUCCACAACCAGAACAUGUUACUACAGGACAAAACAAGGAAACUAUCACACUCCCUGGAAAGCCACUUCAGCUUCCUGAUACUUUGGUUCCAGAAGAGUAUCACAUAGUUAGGAACAAAGGAAUUGUGGGAAUACAGUACCACGAAGACAAGUACAGUACGAAUCCUGAGGAUCAUGAAAAACAUCUUGUGGUAUUCCCUUCACUUAAACCUGCCAGCAGAUAUGAAGUACUCCAACUAAAGAAGUCACUUAACAACAUGCUAGACAAAAUUGGUGCCAAUGAAUUGGACGCUGGUCUUGAAGCUGGACCAAC
rnacentral:sRNA from 1 species